AUAGAAACAUUUAAAUAUAUAAUGGAAAUCAACACAGUAAAGGAGGAGACUAUACUUAAAAGAAGAAAAACUACCACAACAAGAGGACAUAGUCUUAAAUUAGAGGGACAAAGGUUUAAAAAUAAUAUCAGGAAGUAUUACUUUACUGAGAGGGUAGUGGAUGCCUGGAAUAGCCUUCCAGCUGAAGUGGUAGAGGUUAACACAGUAAAGGAGUUUAAGCAUGCGUG